rnacentral:rRNA from 1 species
UACAGAGGCCUCGAGCGUUAGGCGGAAUCACUGGGCUUAAAGCGUGUGUAGGCGGACUGGUAAGUACCUUGUGAAAUCCCACAGCUUAACUGUGGAACUGCUCGGUAUACUGCUGGUCUUGAGCCACUCAGGGGCUACCGGAACAAAUGGUGGAGCGGUGAAAUGCGUAGAUAUCAUUUGGAACGCCAAUGGUGAAAACAGGUAGCUGGGGGGUGUGCUGACGCUGAGACACGAAAGCCAGGGGAGCAAACGGG